GAUGAACGCUGGCGGCGUGCCUAAUACAUGCAAGUCGAACGCGCAGCGAGAGGUGCUUGCACCUUUCAAGCGAGUGGCGAACGGGUGAGUAACACGUGGAUAACCUGCCUCAAGGCUGGGGAUAACAUUUGGAAACAGAUGCUAAUACCGAAUAAAACUUAGUAUCGCAUGAUAUCAAGUUAAAAGGCGCUACGGCGUCACCUAGAGAUGGAUCCGCGGUGCAUUAGUUAGGUGGUGGGGUAAAGGCUUACCAAGACGAUGAUGCAUAGCCGAGUUGAGAGACUGGUCGGCCACAUUGGGACUGAGACACGGCCCAAACUCCUACGGGAGGCUGCAGGAGGGAAUCUUCCACGAUGGGCGCAAGCCUGAUGGAGCAACGCCGCGUGUGUGAUGAAGGCUUUCGGGUCGUAAAGCACUGUUGUAUGGGAAGAAAUGCUAAAAUAGGGAAUGAUUUUAGUUUGACGGUACCAUACCAGAAAGGGACGGCUAAAUACGUGCCAGCAGCCGCAGUAAAAC
rnacentral:rRNA from 1 species